AAAAAUCUACUAAAUUAAACCAUCAAAAACAGUCCUCUUAGAUAAAGACAAUAAAAAAUUUGUUCAUGCUUUGCUAGUUCACCAAUAAGGGAGUCGAUCAGAAAACAUCAGAAAGUGGAAAUCUAUAGGUUCAAGAUUCACAUCAAAUAUCAUAUGUUUCCUAAUCCGGAAUCACAGAUUUAUUAUCAAAACCAAAGCCAAGUUCUGUAAGCCUCAUUUUUCCUUGAAAGACAUCCAACAAUUGAGGCACCAGAUCCUGAUACUUGAUUACAAACCUUUCCAAGAAGCACUUUUCACAACUAGUCAAGACCGAGGAUAUAGGGAUAUCUGCCUUGAUCAAACCCUUUAAAAGCAAAACUCUUACGACUGAACAUCUAGGCAUAAUCCUUCUCUCCAAACUAUAAAAAAGAAUGUUUGGAACUCUAGCAACAGCA
rnacentral:misc_RNA from 1 species